rnacentral:rRNA from 1 species
UACGUAGGGUGCGAGCGUUAAUCGGAAUUACUGGGCGUAAAGCGUGCGCAGGCGGUUCGUCGUGUCUGAUGUGAAAGCCCCGGGCUCAACCUGGGAAUGGCAUUGGAAACUGGCGGACUAGAGUGUGGCAGAGGGGGGUGGAAUUCCGCGUGUAGCAGUGAAAUGCGUAGAUAUGCGGAGGAACACCGAUGGCGAAGGCAAUCCCCUGGACCUGUACUGACGCUCAUGCACGAAAGCGUGGGGAGCAAACAGG